GUGUGUGAGAGAGAGGAGGGGGGAGGGAAGAGCUCGUUUGCGCCGCACUCCUCUCCCUGGCUGUAAUUGUCUAUUAUUUCUGCAGGCAGCAGAGCAGCCUCGCUCAGCUGAGGGCUCCGCACCACAACAAGAUUUACUUUAAGACACAGCUGAAGGAAACAGGAAGACUACACGUCACAGUCUGAAUGACGUGGGCCAGGCCAAGCGCCCAAUCGGGAGGCUCCUUCGGAUUGAAGGGGGGAUAGUGAACCGAGAACUUGGGAGGAAAAAAAAAAAAAAAGAGGGCUGGGGGGAGAAAGAGGAGGAGAAACUGGAUCCCUUCCCCAGCCCCCCACCCAGUGCUGCAGGGAAGGAGACUUUAUCACCUAAUCUGGUGCUUCCAUUGAGAGAGCCAUCUGCAAGCAGCAGCAGCUAAGAGCAGCACUUGAUCUACUUCUGAAUCUUGCCACUCACUCCAGGUCCUGCAGUGCAUGGCAGAUCAGUUACCUAAAGAGCCGCAAAGCUCGUCUGGGUGAUGUUACUGCACAGCAAAAGCUGCACCGCAGUUAUGGAUAAGUAAAUGAAAGGAGACACCCUACCUCAGCUAUUUAGUAAUUUGGGGGCGGGGGUAUUUCAAGAUAAAGUAACUUAAAAAAAAAAACGGAAAUAGAGAAAAGUCUUCAGCAAAGUGAGGAGUGCUGACCAAGGCAUACACACCGCAGGAAAAGAGGGAAAAACAAACCUUUGGAAGGAAAAGUCAGAGCAGACAGGUUAAGCCGCUUUGAAAAAGGCCCCUACUUCGGAUCAACUCAUUAUCCCGAAUAAACGAUGUGUCAUUCCCAUUAUUUAUGUUUCACUGCAGCCAAAGUAUCUGGAUCUCGUUUUGGUCUAAUUUUCUUCCCCUGUCUCUUUCAGUCAGAUGGCUUGCUAGCUGUAUAUGGAGGCUGUGACCUGCCAAGGGAAAAUUUCUCAGAUAUCUAGAUAAGUUUUAGAGAUUGCAAGCAGGAGACUCAACAGCUGUAACAACACCUGGAGGAUACUUGGCAGCUGCAAGUCGCAGAUGCUGAGUUCGGUAAUGUACUUUCCUGUACAAGCAUCUGAGUGUUUUGUUGGCUGCUUGAAAGUUUUCACUGGUGUCUGAAUGGCUUGCUCCACAACUAGCUACAAUAUGCUGAUGGUUGUGUCCAAUCACCCCUGGAGUAUAGGGAUCAAUCUGUCUGAUGAGCAAGAUGACUUACCUCCUCCAAGAUGCUGCUAUCAUUUGCCCUUACUUAUUGGUAAGAGCUUUGCAUGCUUUAGCAGCGUACAGGGCCAAUCAGAGGGGGGACCAGGAGAGCCAUUUGGCUGGGCUUCAAGCUCAAAGGGGGCCUCAAAUUUAGACACUUGUUAAUUUUUUGGCAUUUGAUAAGUUUUGCAACUUGUUUUUAUGUGCACGAGAGCUAGAUUUUUCCUCAAUAAUUAGUGCAUUUGCACAG